UGUUGUUAACACUUUACUUUGAAAGUCUGAGCUGGGAUCGAUUGGUUCCAAGAAAAAGGAAGAUUAACUGUACCCUGGAAGGUUCUUCUAUUCCUCCAGAAAGGGCGACAGCAGCAGGUACAGCUUAAGAGUAACACAGGAUUACUCUUGGCCAAAGCUCCCAAACGGGUUAAGACCCAGCAUGGAGAAAGGACUGUUCAGCCAACUUCUGUGCCCACCUGCCUGGCAGCAAACCUGCACUCCGCGUGCACACAGAACGGAUCCUUCCUUCCACAGAAAAGGAAACCUCUGAAUGUUUAAUCUUUAUUUCGCAUCAUGCCCUAAUUUUAACAGUUUCUGUACGGUGGCUCAGUGAGGUCCACCAUCCUCAGUGAGGUCCACAGUGAGAACCCUGCAUGCAUUGGCAGAAACACAUUCCUCAAGGAAAGGUAUUGAAUCUCCAUCCAGGAAUUUGGCACAUGGUGGAGCAGUGCUGUUUCAAGAUUCAUUUACAAGGGGAAUGUUGUAGAGUUUGGCUUCUCUAGUUCUUUUCCACAGACUUCUUCCUGGAGCUAUUCCAAGCUUGGCCACAGGCAUGACCAAGGGUAUGCAGCUCACAAGAGUACAAAUUGUUGCAGGUCUUCAAGGUGACAGCAAAGCUGGCGCAGACUUGAAUGUGCCUCUGCACCUUAACAAAGCAGCCAUCAAGACCUGAUUCUGUCUUCCUUGGCACAAUGGCUUCCGGAAAUGCAGUGGAACAUGGAUUCAUACAGAUGUUCCUGUACUUGUACAG
rnacentral:lncRNA from 1 species